rnacentral:rRNA from 1 species
CCUACGGGGGGCAGCAGUGAGGAAUAUUGGUCAAUGGCCGAGAGGCUGAACCAGCCAAGUCGCGUGAGGGAAGACGGCCCUACGGGUUGUAAACCUCUUUUGUCGGGGAGCAAAGAGAGUCACGUGUGACUCAUUGAGAGUACCCGAAGAAAAAGCAUCGGCUAACUCCGUGCCAGCAGCCGCGGUAAUACGGAGGAUGCGAGCGUUAUCCGGAUUUAUUGGGUUUAAAGGGUGCGCAGGCGGAGGGGCAAGUCAGCGGUCAAAUUGCGGGGCUCAACCCCGUACUGCCGUUGAAACUGCAGCCCUUGAGUGCGCGAGAAGUAUGCGGAAGGCGUGGUGUAGCGGUGAAAUGCAUAGAUAUCACGCAGAACUCCGAUUGCGAAGGCAGCAUACCGGCGCGCAACUGACGCUCAUGCACGAAAGCGUGGGUAUCGAACAGGAUUAGAUACCCCAGUAGUC